rnacentral:tRNA from 1 species
CGGGGUGUGGCUCGGUGGUAGAGCUCUUGCCUUCUGUGAGCAAGGCCCUGGGUUCGCUCCCCAGCACCACAG